GACGAACGCUGGCGGCGCGCUUAACACAUGCAAGUCGAACGGAAAGGCCUGCUUUCCCUUGUGGAUUGCGGGUACUCGAGUGGCGAACGGGUGAGUAACACGUGAGUGAUCUGCCCCCAACUUGGGUAUAAGCCUGGGAAACUGGGUCUAAUUCCCGAUAGGACUGCAGGGUGGUGCCUGUGGUGGAAAACGAUUUUCUAGUGGUUGGGGAUGAGCUCGCGGCCUAUCAGCUUGUUGGUGGGGUAAUGGCCUACCAAGGCGGCGACGGGUAGCCGGCCUGAGAGGGUGGACGGCCACAUUGGGACCGAGAUACGGCCCAGAGUCCUACGGGAGGAAGCAGUGGGGAAUAUUGCACAAUGGGCGGAAGCCUGAUGCAGCGACGCCGCGUGGGGGAUGACGGCCUUCGGGUUGUAAACUCCUUUCGACCGCGAGGAAGCCACCUGGUUGGAAGGGUGGUGACGGUAGUGGUAGAAGAAGCACCGGCUAACUACGUG
rnacentral:rRNA from 1 species